UUUUUUUUGUUUUGUUUUUUUUUUUUUGCUAAACUUAGUCUGAAGAACUCUUGAGAGUUAUGAAUUUUAAUGGUGCAACCAAAAUUUUAUAUAAAAGAAACAAAACCUCAGACUCUUCCCUGUCAUCUCCAUCCUUCCAUCACUUGUCAGAAUUUUUAUAUACAUUUAUACACAUCUUCACAUACAUGAUUUUUGCACUUUUUUUUUUUUUUUUUCACCAGCAAGGUACAUUUCCACAUUUUGUUGCUGGCUGUGGCUUAGUCAGGUUCUCAGCAACACUAUUUAUACAGUGACAUUUUUCAAAGAGCUGCACGCUCUACAUAGCUAAUGGAAAAGGUGGCGCGACCACAGAAAAGAACUUAAUGUUAUUCAUGGAAUACCAAAGGAGAAAAUGGAACAGUGGAUCACAUUAAUUCUGGCAAAUACUAUUAUUUUAAACUCAUUUAAAUUCAAGUCAAACUUAUUGAGCAUAUCAUCCCAGAGAGCAACUAACAUUUAUCUUUCCUGUGCAAACAGAGCAAACAGGAGCUGAGCAGGCGCUCGCUGUUGGCAGAAGGGGCUGCCUCUGGAAAACCCAUGGAGAGGGCAGGGGGCAGAGCCCACAUUUAUGUUUUAAUUGAAACAAUGAUUAAUUGCACCACAGAGGGUCUCACAGUCACUGUCUUUCUGUCUCGACCAGCCACGAGCCACUCUCUGCUACUCCAAAGUGUUUUUUCAGUAAUGUAUGUCCUAAACUUGCACCAUUCCUCCUUAUUUUUAAACUUAUGUUUUUGAUAAUUGAAGAUGUAAUUACAACACUUUUAGUAAUAAAUUAUUGUGUUACUGUGCUCCUCUGAUACACAUUCCAACUUCCAAUUAAGUAACCCAGAGAUUGUUUUGCCCUAUUUCUAUCCUAAUGUGUAUUUUCAUGCAUUAAAAUAACGAUUACAAAAAGGUUCUUGUAGCUGCUUGAUGUAGUCCACUGAGGUGGGAACAGGCAGGAAUAUUUUUAUAGCUCUGGAUAUUGUGUAACAGCUCUGAUAUCCCCUAUUGGGUGUAUUGUUUGACCUUUAUAUAACUUUUAUUUUCUUGAUCAUGAAAUUUAGAACAACUACUUUAUUUUUCACGGAGGCAGCAAUUUUUUUAAAAUUUCCUUCACUUUUUUCUACUUAAAAAUGUAACUAAAAAAAAAAACCCAAACCAUUGAUGUAACUGCACUGAAAAUUCAACCAAAGUACAAAUUGCCAUGGACAGAUGAUCUUUACCUUUAAAGGACAAAAAUAGUUUGAAUGUGCUAGCCCAUGCAAUACUAAGUUCUACUUUCAUAUUUUCAUCCUCCAGCCUGAAUUGUUUAUAAACCUCUAAACUGCUGCAUGUUCAGACAGAAAUAAAAAUCUCAGGCCAGAAAGAAACAAGAAAAGAGUGGCUGAGAACUUAUAUUAGAAAAUAUUUUGAGUUUUUUCCCCUACUAUUUAAUUAGAAGUAAGAAGAUCUUAAAGUUAUUUUCAUAAGUAACUCACACUCUCAAUUACUGUACAGGGCAACACCUCUGUAAAGGGGUCACAAUUUAAAAGAAGAAAAAAACUCAGUCCAGGUUUCUGUCGUACUUAGAUCAUUUAUGCAAGAGAUGCCCACAAUAAUUCAGAAGUGGGGCUCAUCCAAGCCAGUAUCUUAUCUUCAACAUGGAUUAAUACCAGAUACUUCAAAGCACAACUGAACAGGAAUUGAAAUUUCUGUUCUUUGGGGAGAGAAAAAAUUCAAAUUCCCAUUGGUUUUUGAAGAGUGGAUAUGAAAAGGAUGUACUGUCAAAUUAAUUGCUGAACAGAAAUCCUAGAAUAAUUUGAUUUGAAAAAUAAUUUAUUAAUUUUCACCAAAUAAAAGUACCUCAUUCAAUGUAAUUGAACCCAAGCCCUUCCAGACUUGUCCCUCUGGAAUAAGGAGUUUUCCAGAGUAAGAAAAAAAAGAUCCACAAACUGAAAACAUCAAAAAUAUUAAAGCAUAAGGAUAUCUAAUUCACAUCUGCUCAGAUUUAAUUCAGAAACUGCUUGAAGACUAUACCUAACAUAAUUAAAAUGGUAAGCUGUGAAGCUCUCUGGAAGCAGAACAGAGAGGUUUUGAGCUUGUGCCAAGAUAGAAAACAUGAAGGUGAAAAUUAUAACAGGGAAGUUGGAAGGGAUCAUUAAUGAUUUUCCUUAAAAUUGGCAUCUGGCAAGCAAAAAAUACAAUCAUUCACACAGACGUGUUAUUUCCCAGAGGUCCUUUAACCACUGCCAUGUUUCCUUCAUACAAUUUUAAUGACAGAAGAGCAGCACUUACAUAUUGUUUUUUGCCAUUUCUCAACUGAUUUAUCUUCUACCAAGUCAAGGUGCCCUAAAGGGAACCCAAAAGACCAUUUUAAAAUAAGUAUUUCCUUGGGUGCAGAGACUAUCAUAUAUCUGAGGGUGAUGGAACACAUUGUUUUUGCACAACUCAAUUCUGCAAUUAGUGGGCUUUAAUGAAUCUGAUCUAUCCCUCUUAAUACCAUAAAAUAUCAGUUCAUGCAUAUAUAUUAAAUGAAUAGAUAAAUCAACAAAUACGUAUGGCUGAGGAAGUAUUGGCUGAAUACAAUGAUCUUCUCAUAAAAGAAAAAAAAUGUAACCUGGAGUUGGGCCUCUGUGAAAUUAUAACACAGUCAAACACCUGGUACUAAUGACAGGAGCCACAUCUCUCUCAAUGACAACCUGUAUUUUCCAGCCAGGCAACCAAAAUAAUGCAUUUCAGACUUUGCUUUAUUGAGCAGUGAGGAAAUCACAAAUAAUCUAGAAGUCAAAAAUGCUGUUGGGUAGAAUGCAGGCUGCCCCAGUUUGCAUUAACAGAGAGCAGUACAGAUCUAUUAACGUAUUUCUGCUGCAGAAGUGAAAACUUCUGAAAUCCUAAGGGAACCAAUUACUUAAGUCAGGCAGGGGACUUACAGACUUGGUAAUUGUUGGGGCUCAAAAACUGCUAAAAACUGCCCAAGUACCUCAUGUAGGGGAACAACCCAGUUCUAAAGGGACUAAUUACAACCUUGGCAGCACGCAGGACAACAGAGUUUGCCAUGAGUGGAGACCAUAAGCCUUCAUUUUCUAACUCUCAGUGUGCAGGUGUUUUAUCAGAAACACAAACUAAAAACUACCUAUACUCAAGGAACCUUGAAUUAACUGACUGUAUUAAUGAAGGCUACUGUGACACAUUUUCUUUGUAAAUGAAAGCAACAGCACAGCACAGCACAC
ensembl:lncRNA